CAGAGAAUAGCUUGCUAUUUUGCUGACGAGCGGCUUACGGGUGAGUAAUGCUUGGGAAUAUGCCUUUGAGUGGGGGACAACAGUUGGAAACGACUGCUAAUACCGCAUAAUGUCUACGGACCAAAGGGGGCUUCGGCUCUCGCUUAAAGAUUAGCCCAAGUGGGAUUAGCUAGUUGGUGAGGUAAUGGCUCACCAAGGCAACGAUCCCUAGCUGGUUUGAGAGGAUGAUCAGCCACACUGGAACUGAGACACGGUCCAGACUCCUACGGGAGGCAGCAGUGGGGAAUAUUGCACAAUGGGCGCAAGCCUGAUGCAGCCAUGCCGCGUGUGUGAAGAAGGCCUUCGGGUUGUAAAGCACUUUCAGUAAGGAGGAAAGGUUAGUAGUUAAUACCUGCUAGCUGUGACGUUACUUACAGAAGAAGCACCGGCUAACUCCGUGCCAGCAGCCGCGGUAAUACGGAGGGUGCGAGCGUUAAUCGGAAUUACUGGGCGUAAAGCGUACGCAGGCGGUUUGUUAAGCGAGAUGUGAAAGCCCCGGGCUCAACCUGGGAACUGCAUUUCGAACUGGCAAACUAGAGUGUGAUAGAGGGUGGUAGAAUUUCAGGUGUAGCGGUGAAAUGCCGUAGAGAUCUGAAGGAAUACCAAUGGCGAAGGCAGCCACCUGGGUCAACACUGACGCUCAUGUACGAAAGCGUGGGGAGCAAACGGGGAUUAGAUACCCCGGGUAGUCCACGCCGUAAACGAUGUCUACUAGGAGCUGGGUUCUUCGGAGCACUUUUCCAAAGCUAACGCAUUAAGUAGACCGCCUGGGGAGUACGGCCGCAAGGUUAAAAACUCAAAUGAAUUGGCGGGGGCCCGCACAAGCGGUGGAGCAUGUGGUUUAAUUCGAUGCAACGCGAAGAACCUUACCUACACUUGACAUACAGAGAAGCGACCAGAGAUGGACGUGUGCCUUCGGGAACUUUGAUACAGGUGCUGCAUGGCUGUCGUCAGCUCGUGUUGUGAGAUGUUGGGUUAAGUCCCGCAACGAGCGCAACCCUUAUCCUUAUUUGCCAGCACGUUAUGGUGGGAACUCUAAGGAGACUGCCGGUGAUAAACCGGAGGAAGGUGGGGACGACGUCAAGUCAUCAUGGCCCUUACGUGUAGGGCUACACACGUGCUACAAUGGCGCAUACAAAGGGCAGCAAACCAGCGAUGGUAAGCGAAUCUCAUAAAGUGCGUCGUAGUUCGGAUUGGGGUCUGCAACUCGACCCCAUGAAGUCGGAAUCGCUAGUAAUCGUGGAUCAGAAUGCCGCGGUGAAUACGUUCCCGGGCCUUGUACACACCGCCCGUCACACCAUGGGAGUGGGUUGCACCAGAAGUAGCUAGCUUAACCUUCGGGAGGGCGGUUACCACGGUGUGAUUCAUGACUGGGGUGAAGUCGUA
rnacentral:rRNA from 1 species